GAUGAACGCUGGCGGCGUGCUUAACACAUGCAAGUCGAACGGUGAACGAGGGAGCUUGCUCCCUCCGGAUCAGUGGCGAACGGGUGAGUAACUCGUGAGCAAUCUGCCCUGGACUCUGGGAUAAGCGUUGGAAACGACGUCUAAUACCGGAUACGAGGCGUGGGGGCAUCCCCAACGCCUGGAAAGAACUUCGGUCCAGGAUGAGCUCGCGGCCUAUCAGCUAGUUGGUGAGGUAACGGCUCACCAAGGCGACGACGGGUAGCCGGCCUGAGAGGGUGACCGGCCACACUGGGACUGAGACACGGCCCAGACUCCUACGGGAGGCAGCAGUGGGGAAUAUUGCACAAUGGGCGCAAGCCUGAUGCAGCAACGCCGCGUGAGGGACGACGGCCUUCGGGUUGUAAACCUCUUUUAGCAGGGAAGAAGCGAAAGUGACGGUACCUGCAGAAAAAGCACCGGCUAACUACGUGCCAGCCGCCGCGGUAA
rnacentral:rRNA from 1 species